rnacentral:rRNA from 1 species
UACGGGGGGGGCAAGCGUUGUUCGGAAUUACUGGGCGUAAAGGGCGCGUAGGCGGCCUGUUAAGUCGAACGUGAAAUCCCCGGGCUCAACCCGGGAACUGCGUCCGAUACUGCGUGGCUAGAGGUAGGUAGGGGAGAUCGGAAUUCCUGGUGUAGCGGUGAAAUGCGCAGAUAUCAGGAGGAACACCGGUGGCGAAGGCGGAUCUCUGGGCCUUACCUGACGCUCAGGCACGAAAGCUAGGGGAGCGAACAGG